CUCCUGGAAACGGGUGGUAAUGCCGGAUGCUCCAGUUGAUCGCAUGGUCUUCUGGGAAAGCUUUCGCGGUAUGGGAUGGGGUCGCGUCCUAUCAGCUUGACGGCGGGGUAACGGCCCACCGUGGCUUCGACGGGUAGCCGGCCUGAGAGGGCGACCGGCCACAUUGGGACUGAGAUACGGCCCAGACUCCUACGGGAGGCAGCAGUGGGGAAUAUUGCACAAUGGGCGCAAGCCUGAUGCAGCGACGCCGCGUGAGGGAUGGAGGCCUUCGGGUUGUAAACCUCUUUUAUCGGGGAGCAAGCGAGAGUGAGUUUACCCGUUGAAUAAGCACCGGCUAACUACGUGCCAGCAGCCGCGGUAAUACGUAGGGUGCAAGCGUUAUCCGGAAUUAUUGGGCGUAAAGGGCUCGUAGGCGGUUCGUCGCGUCCGGUGUGAAAGUCCAUCGCUUAACGGUGGAUCCGCGCCGGGUACGGGCGGGCUUGAGUGCGGUAGGGGAGACUGGAAUUCCCGGUGUAACGGUGGAAUGUGUAGAUA
rnacentral:rRNA from 1 species